rnacentral:rRNA from 1 species
AUUGAACGCUGGCGGCAGGCCUAACACAUGCAAGUCGAACGAGUGGCGGACGGGUGAGUAAUGUCUGGGAAACUGCCCGAUGGAGGGGGAUAACUACUGGAAACGGUAGCUAAUACCGCAUACCAUCGGAUGUGCCCAGAUGGGAUUAGCUUGUAGGUGAGGUAACGGCUCACCUAGGCGACGCUCCCUAGCUGGCCUGAGAGGAUGACCAGACACACUGGAAAUGAGACACGGGCCAUAAUCCUACGGGAGGCAGCAGUGGGGAAUAUUGCACAAUGGGCGAGAGUCUGAUGCAGCCAUGCCGCGUGUAUGAAGAAGGCCUUAGGGUUGUAAAGUACUUUCAGCGGGGAGUCGUUACCCGCAGAAGAAGCACCGGCGAACGCCGUGCCAGCCGCCGCGGUAAUAC